UACGUAGGUGUCGAGCGUUGUCCGGAUUUAUUGGGCGUAAAGCGCCCGCAGGCGGCUUGGCAAGUUCGAGGUGAAAUCUCCCGGCUCAACUGGGAGGGUGCCUCGGAAACGGCCAGGCUUGAGGCAGGGAGAGGGAUGUGGAAUUCCCGGUGUAGUGGUGAAAUGCGUAGAUAUCGGGAGGAACACCAGUGGCGAAGGCGGCAUCCUGGCCCUGACCUGACGCUCAGGGGCGAAAGCGUGGGGAGCAAACCGG
rnacentral:rRNA from 1 species